AGAUCACUCUGCUCAACAACAGCAGAAUACUCAUUGUUCCCAAGCACACAUGGAACAUUCUCUAGGAUAUACCAUGUUAGGGGCCAAUACAAGUAUCAGUACAUAUUUGAGAAAUUGAAAUCACACAGAGCAUCUUCUCUAACAACCAUGGAAUGAAGGAAGAAAUCAUUAACAGAACCAUUCACCAUCACGUUUGCCACACAUGUGAUUGUAGUUGUUAAAAUAAAAUUUCCAGACAUCAGUAGUCAUAUGGAUGGAGACCAAGAACAGAACUCAAGGAUGUGUCCGGCAAUCAGUAAAGAGCUCACAAGCAGGACUUCCAUAGCUGACUAUGCCAAGUGA
rnacentral:lncRNA from 1 species